rnacentral:lncRNA from 1 species
AUAAUGGGUCAGAGGACACUUGCCUUCACCAAACAGAUGCUCAGGGUCCUCAACUUUGCAGAACUCGAAGAAUAUCACUUGGUCGCCGAAGCUUGACCGUCGAUUCCUUGAAGCUCAGGAACAGAUCGCAAUCUAUUCGCGUCGCACAGCGAAUACCAACAGGCACAAACAAACAGACAUAUGUAUAUGCAUAAGAACAUUACAUCAUUCAAAUAAAAACAUAAUAAAAUAUGCAGAACGAAAUAGAGCGCGUUACUACGGUCGCGCGAGGAAAAAGGAACCCGACAGUCGAAGCUUCGAUCGAGGAGUUAUAACGUUUACGCUACGCAAGUAGUAGCUAGGACAUUUAAUUUGAUAUUGUAAAAAUAUAACUUAUAACCGUUAUGUAGUUUUGAUUAAAUCUACCACACUAAUAGCUAUCAAACAAAUAACUAAUAUAAUUAGCACGAGAGAUUCUAAGCGAAGCGAAUUUACGACGCAUGAAACAAUACGACAGCGUGCAAACGACGCGCGGGCACGCGCGACGUAGCACGUGAACAACGCCUGAGACAGUGCGCGCGACCAGCGCGAACGACGCGUGAACCAGCACGUAAACGACGCGCAACGACUUGCGCGAACAGCACGCGCGCCACAAGAACAUCACGCGCGAACAGCGCAUAGAUGGUGCGACGACGCCCACGCACAGCACAAUGACACGAGAAUCACUACAUUUAUCGGUUUAUAAUAAAGCAUGGCCAGCAAUUAAUUAAUUAAUUAACUAAAGCAUGAGGUACGAUAAAAUAAUAUUUUUAACGUGUACACGAUAUUAUUGUGAAGGUAAAACAAUUAGAAUAGAGUAAAUCGGACGACCAUAAAAGUUAAUGUGUAUUUACUGACCCGUUGAUUUAAUAUUGCGCGCGACAAGCGACAAUGUGCGAAAACGGCACGCGGCAACGCGUGCGAAUAGCACGCGCGACGACACGCACGACAACACGCGAAACAGCGCGACACGCGAAAGGCACGCGAUUCAGCGCGCAGCAACACGCGAGAAUCGCUAUCAGAUAUCGUGUUUAUACUAAAUAAGUAUUAAUUCAAAAACAUUUGUGUAGAUAUAAUCCUAUUAACAUAUGUAAUCAAAGCGCAGCUAAAACUAUAAAAUAGUUUAAGUAAACUACUGCUUUAAUAUCUCGGAUAAAUAAAUAAUCAACUAAUUAAUUAAAACGUGUAUCACAAUGAAAUAAUUUUAGUAACAUAAGUGAUUAUAAGCGAAUGAUUUAAGCUCGUGCUCGGAUAACGCGCGAUACACGCGAACAGCGCGCGGCAAGGUGCGCGACACAAGCAUGGGAACAACAUUACGGCACGCGCGAAUGACAUACGAAAAUCAUUAAUUAAUGUCGUGUUAUACUAUACAAUUAUUAAAAAAAACAUCCAAUUUAAUAUUGAUCCCUCGCAGCCAAUAACUAAUAGAAAAUUGCCACAUGGCCAUGCAUGUGGGGGAGGACGGUUUCCAAAUGCGCAACGCAGGGGUGUUUUCGGGUUGCAUGCGAUGUGCAUGCGGAUGGGGCCCACAAGCUGAUCGUGCGUGGAGAUUGGAGAUUGGAUGUCGCAUGCGGAACAGCUUUGCAUGUUGCAUGCGGGACGGUUUUUUUUCUAGGCAUCGAGCAUGUGUGCAGUGGGGAGGAAAGCGUCGGUCAGGAGUGGCAUCGACGGCACUAGCAGCUCGCCGGGCCAGACGCCUAAACUACGCGCGCGGCAGCAGGCCAGCAUGGACGACACACGGCCUAGAGCGCCUUGGAUCAGGCGAAGCGGCGUGGUCGGGCUACACAGUGGAGGAACGUGGUCACCGGAGGUCCGAGGUCGGCUGCGGCAGGGCUGAGCGCGCGCCACGCGGCCAGGAUGCAGGCCUGCCAGGCUCCAGGGGCUCGGCCGCGGACUCGCCAUGCGAGGGCACUGACCGUCGCGUUCGCCGACCUGCAGGACCCCGGGGCGCGACGCGAGAGAGAGAAUAGCGGAGGGGGCAGUGCUUGCCGGCGCCUUCACUACGCCGCACGGCUUCGACCAGGCAGCGCUGAGCACCGGGCACCGGCUAGGGGCUGCAGGGAGGGUCCGUCGAGGAGGGGAGAGAGGAUGGGGAAGGGAAGAGAGGAGAGAGGACUCACCGGGAAUCGCCAUGUGCAGGGACGACAGCUUCUGCGUGAUUUGGAUCUGGGGAAGGAGACUAGAGGUUAUGUGACGGCUGGGUGGUUGUAUAAAAGGGAACACGAGAGGAGGUUG